rnacentral:rRNA from 1 species
UACGUAGGUGGCAAGCGUUAUCCGGAUUUAUUGGGCGUAAAGGAAACGCAGGCGGUCUUUUAAGUCUGAUGUGAAAGCCUUCGGCUUAACCGGAGUAGUGCAUUGGAGACUGGGAGACUUGAGUGCAGAAGAGGAGAGUGGAACUCCAUGUGUAGCGGUGAAAUGCGUAGAUAUAUGGAAGAACACCAGUGGCGAAAGCGGCUCUCUGGUCUGUAACUGACGCUGAGGUUCGAAAGCGUGGGUAGCAAACAGG